rnacentral:tRNA from 1 species
UCCGGUAUGGUGUAGUGGCUAACAUUUCGCGCUCUCAUAUUCUGAGGGAAAUACUGUCUCAGUUCCGCGGAGCCCGGGGUUCAAUUCCCCGUACCGGAG